rnacentral:rRNA from 1 species
UGGGGAAUAUUGGACAAUGGGCGCAAGCCUGAUCCAGCCAUGCCGCGUGAGUGAUGAAGGCCCUAGGGUUGUAAAGCUCUUUCACCGGUGAAGAUAAUGACGGUAACCGGAGAAGAAGCCCCGGCUAACUUCGUGCCAGCAGCCGCGGUAAUACGAAGGGGGCUAGCGUUGUUCGGAUUUACUGGGCGUAAAGCGCACGUAGGCGGACUUUUAAGUCAGGGGUGAAAUCCCGGGGCUCAACCCCGGAACUGCCUUUGAUACUGGAAGUCUUGAGUAUGGUAGAGGUGAGUGGAAUUCCGGGUGUAGAGGUGAAAAUCGUAGAUAUUCGGAGGAACACCAGUGGCGAAGGCGGCUCACUGGACCAUUACUGACGCUGAGGUGCGAAAGCGUGGGGAGCAAACAGG